UACGAAGGGUGCUAGCGUUGCUCGGAAUUACUGGGCGUAAAGCGCACGUAGGCGGAUUGUUAAGUCGGGGGUGAAAUCCUGGAGCUCAACUCCAGAACUGCCUUCGAUACUGGCGAUCUCGAGUUCGGGAGAGGUGAGUGGAACUGCGAGUGUAGAGGUGAAAUUCGUAGAUAUUCGCAAGAACACCAGUGGCGAAGGCGGCUCACUGGCCCGAUACUGACGCUGAGGUGCGAAAGCGUGGGGAGCAAACAGG
rnacentral:rRNA from 1 species